GACAGAGGUGCCAAGCGUUAGGCGGAAUCACUGGGCUUAAAGCGUGUGUAGGCGGAGUUCUAAGUACCUUGUGAAAUCCCACGGCUCAACCGUGGAACGGCUGGGUAUACUGGCGGUCUUGGGCCACUCAGGGGCGAGCGGAACAAGUGGUGGAGCGGUGAAAUGCGUAGAUAUCAGGAGGAACACCAAUUGCGAAGGCAGCUCGCUGGGACGUAACUGACGCUGAGACGCGAAAGCGUGGGGAGCAAACAGG
rnacentral:rRNA from 1 species